rnacentral:tmRNA from 1 species
GGGGACGCGUGGGUUCGACAGGGGAUGCUCUUGCGGGAUUGCAGGCCGAGGCGCCAUCGCACCGCGUUAAAAGGUGGCAAAAUUUUAACUGGCAACAACGAGCUAGCACUAGCCGCCUAAGGGUGGCUACGUUCACCGUCAACGUUCCUCGAAGGGGGCGGAUGGGCGACACAAAUCGAGGCGCUGUCUCGGGGACGCCGAUAAACGAGACCUAAGAUCAUCUGGCUGGCUCCCAGCAAUCCUCGUC